UUUAACUCGACGGCCCACAGUACAAGAGGCCACGGCCUCGCGCCUCUCCCCAACCACGGAAACCCUAAUCCCUCUCCACCCACAGCUGCCGAUUCCUCUCCCUCUCUGCUCCCGAUUCAGAUCCAACCCUAGUCCACCUCCAGCCACAGCCGCCGCCUCCUCUCCCUCUCUACUCCAUCCAUGCGGGGUUGCCAUCCCCACGAUCUACUGCGCUGCUGUCCCAACCAUCUUCCACUCCACCUCCGUCUCCCACCCGCUAUCGCUCUUUCGCCGCCCCCACCCUCUCCCCCUAUGCAGCCUUCUCAGAUCCGCGAUGGGAACACGCGGUGGUAGCAGUGCUCCCGCAUCCGCGUCAAGGUCAGCCUUGUGCUCGUCAUCAUGGGCGCGGUGGUCAUGACGAAGGUGGUUGAGGUUGGCGAGAUGGACGUUGUCGCCUAUCCACUGCCCAGGACCAAGGACGGCUGCCAUUUUAAAAGUGGCAAAUUGGGAAAACGCACGGGCUCCUUCUCUAAUGCGUGCUCGCCUCGAUCCGUAAUGGCGCCGCCAUCGUCGGCGGAGUGUCUUCUUCUUCGGCCACCAUCCGCCGCCCUUUUCUCCUUCCCCUCCCUAUCCGGCCUUAAUCUUCUCCGGCGCCACCCGUAGCCUCCUCAAUCCCCAACCUACGCUCUCUGAUUUGGAUCGAAGUUGGAUUUGGAUCAAAGUUAGAUUCCGUGUUCUUCUCCAACACAAAGCCAUGGAGAGACUUGGUUGCCAUAAGAAGGAAGGAGCCUCGACCGGAAUCUCUAUCAGGUUACAUCCCUUGAACAGAAUCAACAUCGAGCUCUGCUGAGUUCGCCGGCUGAAGAAGAAUAUCCGUCAAGCCGUACAAUGUCGCCUCCGCUGAGUUCGUCGGAGGAACAACAUCCGACGUCUGAACGUGCAUCAGCAGAGGUAAUUGAGCUAGAACAAAAGAUAUUACACUUGAGUUUAGUUUAGAAGGGUAACUCCACUUGGGAUGGAACAGAUGAUACUACACUUAAGAUAGGGAACAACACAGAUUUUAUGUACCUAACUGUCUAGUCUGAUUGUGAUAUGUAAUUGUAAUCGGUUAUGGUGAUCUGAAUUUUGUAGUUGUCAAUCUGUAUUUGUACACUAUAUUUGUCA